GCCGGUGGCCAUGGCGUGGGUGCCAUACCCGUUCCCAUCCCGAACACGGAAGUCAAGCCCCACAGCGCCGAUGAUAGUGGCCCAGCGCCGCGAAAGUAGGAGGCCGCCGGCU
rnacentral:rRNA from 1 species